GAAAUGCGAUAAGUAAUGUGAAUUGCAGAAUUCAGUGAAUCAUCGAAUCUUUGAACGCACCUUGCGCUCCUUGGUAUUCCGAGGAGCAUGCCUGUUUGAGUGUCAUUAAAUUCUCAAUCUCUACAACUUUGUUGUUGUCUAGAUUGGAAGUGGGGGUUCUUUGUGUGGAAUCCAAUUCCUCACUCCCCUUAAAUGUAUUAGCUGGAAUGCCUCUGCAUAUCUGACUAUCAGUGUGAUAAUUAUCUAUACUGUAGUUGUUGCAUGAGGGUAUCUGCUUCAUAAAUCGUCGCAAGACAAUUCUAUAUGACCAUCUUGACCUCAAAUCAGGUAGGACUACCCGCUGAACUUAA
rnacentral:misc_RNA from 1 species